GUUCGUAUCAUUGAACUGGGAAAAACAUUCCCAACCUUAGUCAAAUUAAAUUCAUUCAGCCAAAACCUAUGGCGGCAAAUAAAAUCAUCCCGAUGAUGUAAGGGUAACAGCGUUUAUGUCUUAAUUCAUAGGGAGGGGAAAAUAUAAUUUAUUGACAAGCUGUCUGCGCUUUAAGCCAGAAGAGGCAAAUGCUAGACAGACAAGCUCGGACUCGAAACCACUGUUCUCAAUAACAAUAAAACAUUUUUAUCACAAGAAGUUUUAAUGAAACAAGCGCGAGCUACCUCAAAGAGGGAAUGUUAACACUAUAGAUUUGAAAAAUAAGAUUGGAAUUAAAUGGUUCUAUCAAUUGCAGUUUUUACUCUGGGUUUCAUACACAUUUCAGCUCCACUAAGUGUCGCUGUUGUCCACAGCAGCACCGACAAUUCUACCUCACGACAAAAUACGUUUCAAUUAGACUUUAGCAUCAAAUGCAUCCCUAGCUCACACGCUUAAAAUACAAACAUUAUCGUCAAAUUAUCUAGAUGUUUACUUAUAUUGGCAAUAAACACAUUAAACAAACCGCAAUAUUUCCUUACGUUUUUUCUUUUUAUCAGGGCUUGCUUGGUGUUUUCAUUUUGCAAUGGCUUCAGAUUCUCAUAUGUGACCGUUGUAAAAUAUAAAAAUGAUUUUUGUGUCAAAUUAUAGCAGUGAUAAUGUCUCCUAUAUUUGACUCGUUUUUGUAUAUAUAAAUAUUUGCCAUAAUUUCUCACACCUUGUGUCUAGAAAUUUAUAAUGGGGAAUUAUGCACGAUACAAGCACAAAGAUGUAGUGUGCAAUAUUGUUCACGUUUUAGUUCUCUAGCUAUAGAGUAAUGUAAUAGAUUUGUAGCGUUAACUAGAUAAAUUAGUCAAAUAAAUUAAAAAGACAUUUUUUUCUUUUUCAGUACCGUUAGCACAGUCCCAAGAUGUGUCAAAUUCUCAGCCCUAGGAUUAAAGAAAAUAACUUUUUUUUCUAUCAACCUUGGCUGGUCUCUUUUAUUUUCUUUUUUUAAAUAAUGUGGUAUUUUGUUUUGAUUUUCCGGGAAAUUGAUAUUUACAUAAUUUCUUUUUAUUUUCUAUUUUUUUGCAUGGGGGUCAGUUUAUUUCCCCACUCCCAUUUUGUUCGUUAAGGGAAAUUAUUAUGCGUUGAAGAAAAAGCGACAGAUUUUUUUCAUUGCGAAAUCCCUCUGAACAUUGAAAAACGUGAGUCAUUCUAAUGGCUGAGGGUUGUUUAUUUUUACUUAAAAUACAACACAUUCUUCAUACAAUAUCAAUAUUCGCGAUUUUGGAUUAAAAUAUUUUAUUUAUCUGACGUCAGAGCACAUUACAGUAUCAUUUAAUUUAUUUUAACAGCACAACUCAUUUCGAAAACCUAAUCUGGGCUUUUGGUUAAGCAGAAAUGAAAGCAUUCUCAUGCCAACCUGGCCAGAACAUCAAAAUUAGUGUUAUACCGCCAACGAAAAAAAUUACGGCUUAUCCCCUUAAUUAAAUGCCCCCUUUGAAAUUUAAACGCAUUUUUAAAGGAAAAGGGGAUUCAUUCGGUUUCUGCGUCUCAGUAGCUGCUGCCAGUUGAAGCCGGAAUCUUUUCCUCCCACUGCUGUCAACAGCUGUCCGAGCUCUUCCUUUUCUACACUCUUUUUGGAAGGAGUAAACAAGCAUGUUACCUUAACAUGAUCGCAAGAAGCAGGCCAGACAAUGGGGACACGGGGACUUUGCUUAACCUCGCAUGUCCUUCUUCAUUGAGAUAGACCGGACCCUCAUUGUUAGCAUCCUGCUUCAGAGGGAAAAGAACGAAAUCUAAAGGUCAGGGGUCAAGGACUUUCCCAUUCUUCUCUCGUUUAUUUCUCUGCCCUUUUCACUCAGGGGAUCAUAAAGAGGUCGCCUGGUGGCACAGAAGGACUCCCGUGGAUUCCUUUACUUGAAAUAUGGAAUCCCUGUGAGCAGAUACAUCCGAUCUAUAGCUGGGUCCGAAGCCAGUUACCUGUAUCUUUCCAGAGAUCAACAGCCACAUACAGCGUGCACCUGUAUAUAGAAUAGCGUGUAUUUAUGGUUACCAUUAAGCGAGUUCUCUGCGUACAGAUGUGCUCUAACAGCACCAUGUCUACUGCACGUCAAAGGGCAACGUAUCAUGCCAGCCAGCCUUUUGAUUUAAAAAACAGAAGGGAAAGAACUAAGACGGCCUCUAUCCUAUUCUCAAUGGGGGGGAGGAAUGGCAGGGGGCGGGGGAAGGUUUUCAUUUCAGUUUGUUUCCUUCUAAUAUAUUUUUAAGAUCACGCAGAUGUAUUCAGUGGGUUAAACCGCUAUAAAAACGAAUCUGUAUGGAAGACAAUUACCUGUGAGAAAGCAGGGGCAAGAGACAUUUUAAAAUUUACUUUUUCUAGGGUUGAUUUCACUGCAGAAUGUGCAUCUUUUUGUUGGUUUGUUAUUUUAAAAGGGAAAUCUACCCAGCGGGCGGCCAAAAUACCAUUGCUGAAUAUUGUACAUACCCCUUAACUAUAAGGACACACAGCAGAUUUAUUAAAUAAUGAUUAAAUAUUGUGCCAUGUUAAAUAAGCACAAUAGAGGCAUGUGCAAAAUGGGGUCAAAACUAGGCUAGGGGACAGUUACACACUGAAAGGCUACAUACAUUAACCAUGGACAUGUAUACAAUGUAACUAUAGAUGUGUAGGGCGAGAAUUUGCUAACAGAGUGUGUAUCAACUCGGACCGAAGCGAUAGACGUGCAGGUAUCCUCCUGUCACCAGUCUAGGAAGAUGGUCUUGCAGCCAGGACCCCAGCGGAGUCAAGGCUGCUCGCUCGGUGCCAGCUGCUACCGAGCAAAAGGAAACAAACGCCGGACAAGGAGAAGCUUCCCGGGGAAGGCGCCUGGACAAUAUUCGCUGCUUCUGCAGGGGAAAGGGCCCUGGGAAGCAAAGCUCCGGGAGGGGAGCGGCAGCGCGCAGGGAAGUGAGAACGCAGCGAGCUUGACUCCGGAUGCCAGGCCUGGAGCUCCCGGCCAGCUCCAGGGGCUGCGGUGCUGAGCUGUGCCCUGCGCGGGGCUCUUACCCGGGAACGGAGAAACCGAAAAAUGCAGCACUGGGAGCUGGCUCCUAGGGCUUCCCGCCUUGCCCCACAGCUGCCCGGGCAUUUGUGGCUCCGCUACUAGCAGAGCGCGAAGCCCUAAGCCCCAGCCAUCCGCCGAGCUCCCGUGGCAGCGCUGGGCAGAGUCCUCAGCUUGGUUUGGUCCAUCAUUUAGCUGGGCUGACGGCCGGGCAGGCUCCCCCCACUCCCUGGCUGAAGAUCUGGGAGCUGGUUUGGCAACAAACCCUGGAGGAGUCAAUUCCGCCUGGCGAUCGGUCUGUCUAGGUUCUGCAAACGCUGCUGGUCCGGGUGUAUCCGCGUUCUCACUUCCCUUACCGGAUCGGCACCGGUUCCCAUCCGCGUCCAGAGCCACAGGCCGGGCUGCUAGUAACAGAGUGGCAUUUCAACCUCGUGCCCUGAGUCUCUGCAGAGCUUAGUGAGCCCAUAGAAUGCAGCCCCGGAUCCAGGUGUUUGCCCUCUCUCCGCUGCCCUGUCCCACCUCCGCCUUUCCUCCAAUGUGCCGCAGAGAAUAGCAUCAGGGCUCGGGGAAAGUUUCCCAGGAGGGAGAGAGCCCAGACACCCAGCUCGUUCUGCCCUGGCUGCCCUUCGCCUCAUCUUCCUCUGUCCAGGAGCAAACUCUAACCUUGGUGGGCACCGCAGCCAGGCGCUUCUCUCCUCUUUCUUAAAAUCAUCCCCCCCGCCCACGUUUCCCCUCUGCCGCUCUGUCCCCAGCACACGAGGAGCCACGGGAAGAGUUUACCGAAUAUCUUUUCUUUUCUCUCUCUCAUACUCUUUUUUUUCCAGGGGCAGAGGCAUAGGAGAGCUGGAGCUGCCAAUGCGUUUUAUAGGUGACGUAGGGGCCUACGUGGGGAGCCUGUGCCCAAGUGCCACAUCUUAUAGGCCUUUUCUCCUGAAGUGACAUCUCCCUGCAGUUCACAGCCCCCUUUCUGCCUGAAAAAGCAAACCCCCUUUUCCUGCUCCGGAGACAAGCCCCAGAGCUCCAGAAGGGGAGACAGAGAGUGAGAGGAGGAAGCUGAGAUGAGAGGUGUGUGUGGAGGGGUGAGGAGACCCUCCCUUUUGGGGCUCAGGGCUAGCCGAGGCAGACAGGCGGCGAGGCGAGAGGCUGGAUAGCAGGUGGACUCUCCCAAGACAGAAGAACGCCCCAGCCAGCCUCCGCUCCUUAACCCACCCCGGGAGCUCUCCAGCGUUGGCUGCCCUGGAGAGCCGAGAAGGAGGAGGGCUGUUUCUGUCUUUGGUUAUCUAGCUGUAUGAGUGUUAUUAAGCCAUCAUAAAGCUAGAUAACCGAAAGUAGAAAUGACUUCCAACCCUGCCUGGAGCUGGGGAGCGAAUGGAGCAAGAGACACGCGGGGCCAGACGCACCCUGGAUCCUCGAGAAACCCAGCUCACCUCCGAGGAUUCCCCGGCUCCUUCCAGACUCAGACUUGACGGAAAGUUCAUGGAGUGGGAUGUCAUGGGAAGAGACAGGUCUUCUCUGUGGGGACAAGUGGAGAGCCUGUGUGACGUUCUGCAGCAAAGAUAAGAAACUUCCCAUUUGGCACAAGCAGCACAGGAAAGAAAGGUGGAAUGUCGCUCCUCCCCGGUUAACCUCCCCUUCCCAGCCCCUCUGGUGUUCUCCCUUCUCUCUGAGACCAUCAACGCAGCAUGGGUCCUUCAACAAGCAAGAGCUGAAGGAGGAGGACAAAAAAAAAAAAAAAAGGCAGAGCGAUGGAGAAGGGCAGCCCCUGUGAAGACAUACUCUGCCAUACCGGGCCAUUUUUUGCUGCAGUUUAUAGGCUGCUAGGUGCCAGGAAGCCAUUUUGAUGGAAUCAAGUGCUGUUUGUAAGAUGGCCGCAUUGGCAUGAGAUUCCUGUGACUGAACACUGGCAAGGCUUAGGCAACUUUAGUUUCCUUGUUAAACUUCAUUACAGAUGAAAAUGGCUGGGGCCUUUUUGCAUCACAUACUCCUUGAAAAUGGACUGGCCAGCUAGCUUCCAAAUGGCCCAGAGAAGCAGCAGCCUUAGACACUGGAUCUCGAGAGCUUUCAGGAUUGCAGGCGAAGAGGGUGAGGUGUGUGGAGCAAGAAGAAAAUUUUGAUUUUGUAUAAAGUGUAUAAUGCACCACUGGUGAAUGUCCUGUGGUCACCUUUGCUGCUCUGUAACCCCAGAAAUCACAGUCCUCCUUGCUCUCCUGAUAAAACUGACCCUCCUGUCCAGGCAGCGACCAGAAAGCAAAUGCCUCAACUGGGGACGGGGAGGGGGAAAUCUACUAUAUGUAUUUAUAAGCGGUGAAACCUGAGACAGCACCAACGGAGUCAAUGUGGAAAAGUUCAGUCUGAUUUAUUUUGCUUUGUUGCACUGACAAUGGAUCAGUUAAUGUCUGAGACAACUGAACCUUCUGGGUAUUUUGAAAAACUGUCUACAUGGGCUAGAUUCCUGGUCAUCAUAGAAGAACCCGUAAAUGUAGGACUGUAUUUUCACUCGGGUUUGAAGGCGCUUGCCUGCUUCCCAGCUUAUUUAAUCCCUCUUUUUCUUUGUUUUGGAACAGAUAUUGAUUUUUUUUUCACUGCAAACUUAUUCAUGGUGGCGGCCUAGCAGGUUGGUGAGAUCCCUAUGGAUGUAGUUGCGAUGUCUUUUAUUUUUGUAAAAGACACAUCCGCUCCCUUCACUUGUUUAAACAAAGCGAUGGUUAAAAUAAACAAUUCACUUGUCAAAAUGAUUCGUGUGUUUUCGUCUGGUAUAUGGAGAGGAAUAUAAUGCCCCAGUCCAAAUAAAUCCUGCCCCCGCAGUGCGAUGC